AUUGAACGCUGGCGGCAUGCCUUACACAUGCAAGUCGAACGGUAACAGGUCUUUCGGGAUGCUGACGAGUGGCGAACGGGUGAGUAAUACAUCGGAACGUGCCUAGUAGUGGGGGAUAACUACUCGAAAGAGUGGCUAAUACCGCAUGAGAUCUAUGGAUGAAAGCAGGGGACCUUCGGGCCUUGUGCUACUAGAGCGGCCGAUGGCAGAUUAGGUGGUUGGUGGGAUAAAAGCUUACCAAGCCUACGAUCUGUAGCUGGUCUGAGAGGACGAUCAGCCACACUGGGACUGAGACACGGCACAGACUCCGACGGGAGGCAGCAGUGGGGAAUUUUGGACAAUGGGCGCAAGCCUGAUCCGGCAAUGCCGCGUGCAGGAUGAAGGCCUUCGGGUUGUAAACUGCUUUUGUACGGAACGAAAAGUCUUGGGUUAAUACCCUGGGAUCAUGACGGUACCGUAAGAAUAAGCACCGGCUAACUACGUGCCAGCCGCCGCAGUAAGAC
rnacentral:rRNA from 1 species